rnacentral:lncRNA from 1 species
GGCCCUAACUAGGGAUGACGCAAGUCCCUCCCAGUGAUGUCACGAGCUCCCCCAAGCCCUAGACACUACAUCACUCAACUCCAUCCCAUUCCUAUAAAAAAAGUACCCUGUUCGACCAUGUUGCUUUCUCUCCUUUGUUCGGAGACAGCCGGCUGAUCCUCCCCAUAAUAAAGGCUUAUUCUGGUCCUGGUCUGAUCCUGAUUUUUGGCUCUUUUUACUUAGCAAUAAGAUAAAGCAAAUUCAGCAUCUACAUUUUAUUCUCAAACUAACAAACUGGACCUGUAUUCCUAGCAGUCCUUUCUCUCUUUAUAGGACCAUGCAAUGGCCACAUCCUGUCUGUCCCAUCCUACAUCCCAAGCAAGAUACCAGGACAGUACCAUUCCUGAGUUCCAGAGACCCGAGAAAAGAAAUAUUUUCUGGGAUACAAAAUUCAUUGUAUGGAAGAAAUGAACAUCAGUGCAGAAAUUGAUGCUACAUUAAGAAGAAAGCCACGUUCUACCUGUUUAGGAAGUAUCUGAUCAAGAAACCAACUGUAUGUGGGAAGCAACUAGGAAAAGGAGGGAGCAAUGAGGGUGUAUUGGUAACAAAUCAAAUGGCUCCAAUUAUAAC